GGGUAUGUGGCACAAUGGUUUGAGUGUUGGACUACAACUCUGGAGACCAGGGUUUAAUCCCCUGCUUGGCCA